CCUACGGGAGGCUGCAGUGAGGAAUAUUGGUCAAUGGACGCAAGUCUGAACCAGCCAAGCCGCGUGAAGGAAGACGGCUCGAUGAGUUGUAAACUGCUUUUGUAAGAGGGUAAACGCAGAUACGCGUACCUGUCUGAAAGUACCGUACGAAUAAGGAUCGGCUAACUCCGUGCCAGCAGCCGCGGUAAUACGGAGGAUUCAAGCGUUAUCCGGAUUUAUUGGGUUUAAAGGGGGCGUAGGCGGUCGGUUAAGUUAGUGGUGAAAUCCCGAGGCUCAACUUCGGAAUUGCCUCUGAUACGGUUCGUCUAGAGUGUAGUUGCGGUAGGCUGAAUGUUUGGUGUAGCGGU
rnacentral:rRNA from 1 species